GAUGAACGCUGGCGGCGUGCCUAAUACAUGCGAGUCGAGCGAACGGACGAGAAGCUUGCUUCUCUGAUGUUAGCGGCGGACGGGUGAGAAACACGUGGAUAACCUACCUAUAAGACUGGGAUAACUUCGGGAAACCGGAGCUAAUACCGGAUAAUAUUUUGAACCGCAUGGUUCAAAAGUGAAAGACGGUCUUGCUGUCACUUAUAGAUGGAUCCGCGCUGCAUUAGCUAGUUGGUAAGGUAACGGCUUACCAAGGCAACGAUGCAUAGCCGACCUGAGAGGGUGAUCGGCCACACUGGAACUGAGACACGGUCCAGACUCCUACGGGAGGCAGCAGUAGGGAAUCUUCCGCAAUGGGCGAAAGCCUGACGGAGCAACGCCGCGUGAGUGAUGAAGGUCCUCGGAUCGUAAAACUCUGUUAUUAGGGAAGAACAUAUGUGUAAGUAACUGUGCACAUCUUGACGGUACCUAAUCAGAAAGCCACGGCUAACUACGUG
rnacentral:rRNA from 1 species